UACGAAGGGGGCUAGCGUUGCUCGGAAUCACUGGGCGUAAAGCGCACGUAGGCGGCUUACUAAGUCAGGGGUGAAAUCCUGGAGCUCAACUCCAGAACUGCCUUUGAUACUGGUGAGCUUGAGUCCGGAAGAGGUGAGUGGAACUGCGAGUGUAGAGGUGAAAUUCGUAGAUAUCGCAAGAACACCAGUGGCGAAGGCGGCUCACUGGUCCGGUACUGACGCUGAGGUGCGAAAGCGUGGGGAGCAAACAGG
rnacentral:rRNA from 1 species